rnacentral:ncRNA from 1 species
CCGGCACCGGUUCACCUCGCGACGAGGACCCGGCGGCC